UGGCGGCAUGCCUAACACAUGCAAGUCGAACGAUGCUUUCGGGCAUAGUGGCGCACGGGUGCGUAACGCGUGGGAAUCUGCCCUUAGGUUCGGAAUAACAGUUAAAAAUGACUGCUAAUACCGGAUGAUGUCGAUAACACCAAAUAUUUAUCGCCUGAGGAUGACCCCGCGUAGGAUUAGCUAGUUGGUGUGGUAAAGGCGCACCAAGGCGACGAUCCUUAGCUGGUCUGAGAGGAUGAUCACCCACACUGGGACUGACACACGGCCCACACUCCUACGGGAGGCAGCAGUGGGGAAUAUUGGACAAUGGGCGCAAGCCUGAUCCAGCAAUGCCGCGUGAAUGAUGAAGGCCUUAGGGUUGUAAAGCUCUUUUACCCGGGAUGAUAAUGACAGUACCGGGAGAAUAACCCCCGGCUAACUCCGUGCCAGCAGCCGCGGUAAUACGGAGGGGGCUAGCGUUGUUCGGAAUUACUGGGCGUAAAGCGCACGUAGGCGGCUUUGUAAGUUAGAGGUGAAAGCCUGGAGCUCAACUCCAGAACUGCCUUUAAGACUGCAUCGCUUGAAUCCAGGAGAGGUGAGUGGAAUUCCGAGUGUA
rnacentral:rRNA from 1 species